rnacentral:rRNA from 1 species
UACGUAGGUGGCAAGCGUUGUCCGGAUUUACUGGGCGUAAAGGAUGCGUAGGCGGAUGUUUAAGUGAGAUGUGAAAUACCCGAGCUCAACUUGGGUGCUGCAUUUCAAACUGGAUAUCUAGAGUGCAGGAGAGGAAAGCGGAAUCCUAGUGUAGCGGUGAAAUGCGUAGAGAUUAGGAAGAACACCAGUGGCGAAGGCGGCUUCUGGACUGUAACUGA